CAUUGAUGGACAUUAAGGAGAGCCGAUAUCCUGCUGCAGAGCUCAUUGGCCAGGCCACUGCUAACAUAACACCACUAGGUGUGACUCCCGAGAUCAUCAGAGUGACAACCGUGUCUCCUUUUUAUCAUUUGGCCAAGAAAUUUUUAAAGCUUCAUGCGAGUGUUUUCUGCCGCUUCUGGAA